GUAGGUGGCAAGCGUUGUCCGGAAUUAUUGGGCGUAAAGCGCGCGCAGGUGGUUCUUUAAGUCUGAUGUGAAAGCCCCCGGCUCAACCGGGGAGGGUCAUUGGAAACUGGGGAACUUGAGUGCAGGAGAGGAAAGUGGAAUUCCACGUGUAGCGGUGAAAUGCGUAGAUAUGUGGAGGAACACCAGUGGCGAAGGCGACUUUCUGGCCUGUAACUGACACUGAGGCGCGAAAGCGUGGGGAGCAAACAGGGAUUAGAUACCCUGGUAGUCCACGCCGUAAACGAUGAGUGCUAAGUGUUGGGGGGGGUUUACCGCCCCCGUCAGUGCUGCAGCUAACGCAUUAAGCACUCCGCCUGGGAGUACGGUCGCAAGACUG
rnacentral:rRNA from 1 species